UACGUAGGGCGCAAGCGUUGUCCGGAAUUAUUGGGCGUAAAGAGCUCGUAGGCGGUUUGUCGCGUCUGCUGUGAAAACCUAAGGCUCAACCUUGGGCUUGCAGUGGGUACGGGCAGACUAGAGUGCGGUAGGGGGUGACUGGAAUUCCUGGUGUAGCGGUGGAAUGCGCAGAUAUCAGGAGGAACACCGGUGGGCGAAGGC
rnacentral:rRNA from 1 species